rnacentral:lncRNA from 1 species
UCAGUUUAAACAAUUAAACUAAAGUCAAUCAAGCAAAGGCAUAAAAUGUUGAAAUUGGCCCACCUUUUUGCAUUCAAAACAAAUAAUGGGAUCCUUCUUCGAUUCUUCUUCUUUAUUGAAUUUUUUUUCCUUGCCUUCGAGGAAAUUGGCCCUUUUUGAACAUCUUGUUGAAUCUUCUUGUCAACAAUGCCAUUUUCUCAUCAUUAUCUUCAUAAUCUUUGAUUUCUUCAUUUAUUUGUGAUGAUGAAGUAUUGAAAAUAAUUUUUCUUUUCUUCUUGCUUUCAUUAAUUUCCUCAUUACUCUUUAAUGUGAUCUCGUGUGUCACGAGGGAGCUAAGUAAUUCAUCAAGACCCAUUUUUAUAAGGUUUUUUGCUUCUUCAAUGGUGGUCAAUUUUGGUCACCAACUUCUUGGUAGAUACCUAAAAAUUUUUCUCACAAUUUUUACAUUAGUAUACUCUUUUUCAAGAGAUUUUAGACCAUUUAUUAUGUCGGUGAAUAUAGUAAACAUUUUAGAGAUUGUUUCAUUUGCUUCCAUUGAAUAAUUGGGUUAACGUGGAGCCACUAUACCCAAACUGACAAACACCCAAGAUCCAAGAUCUAAAUCACCUAAUUACUACCUUCUGAAUACAACCGCUUGAGCUAAUCUCAAGUUGUUCAACUUCAAUUUACAAACAAUUUUUUUUUAAUUCUGAUUCUUUGCAAUUUUCUUAGGAAAAAUCUUAAAUUUGAUACAAUAAAUAGUUGUAAAUAAAUAAAUUUAUAAUUAAUUCUCAAUUCCCAAAAAAUCGUUGUAAGAGGUUGUCCAUCUUGUCUCUAAAGUAAUCUAAUUUGAUCCAAUGUCUGACCAUCUAAAUGUAAUAUUAAGACUUGACUCCAUUGGUGUGAAAUAUUUUUCCAUGAGGAUGGCUAAUAUGAAAUUCCCCUGCUACUAUUGAGGAUCCCAUUCGGGGUAAUGAUGCAAAAGGAUUAGAUGUUGGAUAGUAUAUAAUUAUGAAGCUACACGAAAUAUGUAACCAAACAGGAUAAGUAGAGCUAAAUGAAUUAAGCUGAUGAAGAUUUGUUUUAGUGAAUUUUUCCCCAUAAGUACGGCUUAAGUUGAGCAAGAUUUAUUUUAGUGAAUUUUUUUUUGUAUGUAUGACUGCCAGUGAUAAGUAGGGUUAUAAACGAAUUUAUUUUAGUGAACCUUUUUCAUGUUUAAGUUAGGGUUUUAUUGAUGGAUGAUUAAGAAGAAGAAGGUGGGUGUACUAAGAGUCCUUGGGACGUACUCUAAGGUUUUAAAUAAGAGUAAAUGGUGAUAUUUAAGCAUUAUACAUUGCUGAUUUGAUAUUUUCUUCCAAGUUGCUGGUGAAAUUAGAUUUUCCUAGGUUAAAAGUAGUUAAGCAACACACGCAUGUCCAAUCAACUGCACAUACAUGUCUAAACAGCUUAAAAGCAUAAAACUUCUAACAAAAAAUUUAGAAAAUUCAUUAAAAGUAAUAGGACACCAAAAUCAAGGCAAAAUUAAGUCCAAAAGUUAAGUUACAGUUGUGAAACGUAAAAUACACUAAACAUAUAUUAUAGGGCCAUGCUAACCGCAACCGACUCAUUUGUGAAUGGUGAUUAAAGGUGAACCAAGGGUUAAAAGAAAUUAAAAUUUCAAUACUUCGUUUACACAUUUUGAGUGCACUUACAAAAUUUAUGUACUUUUUCAUUUAUUUCUAUAUAUUUGACUUGUUUCCUCUCUGGGCUGAUGAUUAAUUAUUUUAGUCAUAUUAAAAGUCUAUUUUUGUCGUUAAUUAGUCAAUUUUUAAAGUCCAGAAUAAUUGUAACAAAUGAAUAUAAUAUUUCAAUUUUUUCAGUAUUAAGUUUUCAUAUUAUCCAACUAUACCUUAAUAUUGCCCUUAUCUCUAAAUGAACUAACCUAAAUAUUUAGGUGGAGGUUGUUCCUCUCUUCCAAAGCUUGUACCUCAAGGAAAAUCUCAAGCAGAGCUAAAGAAGUAGGACCUUUCUAAUUCUUUCAUGGCUGAAGGUAAUUUUAUAUUUUAUUGGUUGGUUUUUGUUUUCCUCCCCACCCACCCACCCACCCAC